rnacentral:sRNA from 1 species
UACAUGAUUUGGAAUCAAGUGGUCACGUGAUUUUUCUGAAUCACGAUAUGACACUGUUUAUUUACUCUUUCUUUUUAUCUUUGGGCAUUCCAGAGGGGUGUUUGAUGCUUCCCUCAAAAUGGCUGGCUUCUAUGGAUUGUAUACCUGGCUGACUCAUACUAUAUUUGGCAUCAAUAUUGUCUUCAUACCAUCAGCGUUAGCAGCAAUCCUUGGAGCAGUGCCAUUCCUGGGGACAUACUGGGCAGCAGUACCUGCAGUUCUUGACCUGUGGCUGACACAAGGGUUAGGAUGCAAGGCCAUUUUACUGUUGAUUUUUCAUCUCUUGCCAACAUACUUUGUAGAUACUGCAAUCUACUCUGACAUAUCAGGGUAAGUAAGCCACAGAAUUUCUUAAGUUAUUAGUGAAUCAUCCAGGCAUUUCUGUUUUUUUUUUUUUUUAAAGGAGGAUUUUUUUCUCCUGGGGGUAUACAAAAGAACUGGUAGUAGGAAUUUUCAGUGAAAUAGCCUUUUGUGUUCCCACAAAUGAAAUUUUCAUUUAAAACAGUAUUGUUUACAAGGCAUG